CUUAAUUAUUUUCUCCUAAAUCCUCUAAAACGCGCGCACACUAUAGAACGAGCAUCCGGCUCCUGGCCAGAAGACCUUCCCUUCCUGGCCCCUCCACCGCCGACCCGAGCCUCGUCUAACGGAAUCACACCUCGCCACCGGCCUCCACCCCCACCCUCUCCUCGUCCCUCUCCCCUUGUCACGAGAGAAGAGUAGAGAGGAGAGGAGGGAGAUCGAGCGACCAGACCAGGUCAGGCGGCCGGUAGAUCCACAAUCGGUCAUCCAGCGACAAGGAUACUUCCACCUGGGCAUCCCUCGAUGGGCUUCUGCUUCUGCUUCGUUUCAUGCCCCCGUCACCAUGCCUAGUUCCCCCAAGAAGGUGCCAUCUUCUCCUCAUCAAUUCCUUUGCUCUCUUUCCCUCCCUGUGUGUGUGUGUCUUUAUGAUCUGGGCGGGCAUGUAGCCGGGAUCUCUAGGCAUGGCUACAUCGGUUGGGAGAGGAGGAAGCACGAGCUUGCUACAGACGGAACGGGCGGCGGAGGAAGCUUGGGCGGAGGAGGGGGUGGAGAUCGUCCUUGGUCUGGAGCAAGACGGAGACGAAGAUUGUUAGGGAAUGGAGUUCUUGUGUGGCCGCUGUUCGUGUUUGCUUAGUGGAUUCGUGCUGAAUUUAGCAAGACGAGCACAUGCUGGAGUGCUGCAGCUGCUUUGGUCAUGGUGCCACUGAAUUUUUCUGUUGAUGGAUAUGUUGUUGCUGCUAUGGAGUGUUGCUGAAUUUUUCUCUCCUACUGAAUAUAGUGCUAUAGUGUUCUUUGAG
rnacentral:rRNA from 1 species